ACGGCUAACUACGUGCCAGCAGCCGCGGUAAUACGUAGGUGGCGAGCGUUGUCCGGAAUUACUGGGCGUAAAGGGCGCGUAGGCGGUUCUUUAAGUCAGAUGUGAAAACCCGAGGCUUAACUUCGGGAUUGCAUAUGAAACUGGGGAGCUUGAGUGCAGGAGAGGUAAGUGGAAUUCCUAGUGUAGCGGUGAAAUGCGUAGAUAUUAGGAGGAACACCAGUGGCGAAGGCGACUUACUGGACUGUAACUGACGCUGAGGCGCGAAAGCGUGGGGAGCAAACAGGAUUAAAUACCCUGGUAGUCCACGCUGUAAACGAUGGAUACUAGGUGUGGGAGGUAUCGACCCCUUCCGUGCCGCAGUUAACGCAAUAAGUAUCCCGCCUGGGGAGAACGGCCGCAAGGCUAAAACUCAAAGGAAUUGACGGGGGCCCGCACAAGCAGCGGAGCAUGUGGUUUAAUUCGAAGCAACGCGAAGAACCUUACCAGAACUUGACAUCGUCUGAAUUACCCGUAAUGGGGGAAGUCCUUCGGGACAGAUAGACAGGUGGUGCAUGGUUGUCGUCAGCUCGUGUCGUGAGAUGUUGGGUUAAGUCCCGCAACGAGCGCAACCCUUAUUGCUAGUUGCCAUCAUUAAGCUGGGCACUCUAGUGAGACUGCCGGAGACAAUUCGGAGGAAGGUGGGGAUGACGUCAAAUCAUCAUGCCCCUUAUGUUCUGGGCUACACACGUGCUACAAUGGGUAUAACAACGGGAAGCAAGCCGGUGACAGCAAGCCAACCCCUAAAAAGUACCCUCAGUUCGGAUUGCAGGCUGAAACCCGCCUGUAUGAAGUCGGAGUUGCUAGUAAUCGCGAAUCAGCAUGUCGCGGUGAAUACGUUCCCGGGCCUUGUACACACCGCCCGU
rnacentral:rRNA from 1 species